rnacentral:lncRNA from 1 species
AAAGAGAACUCCAAAUAACAACACAAGCUUAGCUUUUGCUUUAGAAGUUUCUAGAAUUUAGUUGAUGCUAUUGGAGCUAUCAUGAACUGAUACAGUCCCCGUGGGGAGUGACUGUAUGAGCUCGAACUGGACUUGGACAUUUCUCCAGCCCUCUGUGGUUCCAGUUGAGAACUUCAAAAUCUUUCAGAGCGACUCAUGCUGCCAGAGGGUGGAGGAGUGGACCUUGAAAUGACAAGUGACAGUUCCUCAGCAGUAGCAUCUCCUGCUUUCUCAGCCUGGUGACCUGACCCGGCAGCACGCCCACUGGGCACCUGUGCCCACCUGGGGAUGGGGUCUCGUCCUGCCUGUGUGACCCUUCCUCCUGACAGCCAUCUCUAGAGACAGCCAGUGAGGGCAGGGCAACAGGCAGUGCAUGUUCUUUCCACAUCUCCAUGACUGAUUCUGGCCAGGAGGAGGCUGGCUUUCUGGAUCCCACCAACAUCACAUAGGGGACCUUUUCAAUCUACCUCCUACCUCCCCUCCAGUCGUGAUUUGAUUCUGGAAUUUAAGAAGCGGAGAAAGAGCCUAGUUCAAAUUCAAGAAUUUCCAUCUAAAACCACAGCAUGGAGAGGCCCCUUUAAAAACCACCUAACCCAGCUCUUUCAUCAAACAGAUGAAGAAACUUACCUAAAGAUGUUAAGUGGUUUGCCCAAAUUGCAAAGCCUGAUAUAUGGGAAAAUACUUCCAUGGGAAAUAAGAAAAUGAUAAAUUUAAAAAAAAUUUUAAAUGAGGCUCUAAUUCCUGAAAAAUGACUUACUUAAACUGGGGACUGGGCAGAAAAUAAUAUUGUAGAAGGUAGAACAGCAUUUCUUUGGGAGGAUUUAUCUUUUUAAGUAUAUAGUGGUCUUCUACCACUAUCCUACAACAGGUUGCAGGACAAAUAAUGUAUUUUAAUCUUUGGGGGAGUCUUUGUGUAAGUCAGACCUUAUUCAUUUUCAUUCCAACAACACUCGCAGCCAUUGGAUCCUAAUUAUCACAUCUAAUAAGGCUGAUGGCUAAUCAGCUUGCCUUUUUAAGAAAAAAAGGCCGGGCACGGUGGCUUAUGCCUGUAAUCCCAGCACUUUGGGAGGCCGAGGCAGGUGGAUCAUGAGGUCAGAAGAUCGAGACCAUCCUGGCUAACACGGUGAAACCCCGUCUCUACUACAAAUACAAAAAAAUUAGCCGGGUGCGGUGGCGGGCGCCUGUAGUCCCAGCUACUCGGGAGGCUGAGGCGGAAGAAUGGCGUGAACCCGGGAGGCGGAGCUUCCUGGGCGACAGAACGAGACUCUGUCUCCAAAAAAAACACAAAUGACAUUCCAUUAUAAGUUUCUGCUGCAAAAGAAAGUUGGGAAAUUUGUUUAGAUACUUUAAAUAGUCCUAAGAUUAGCUGAAAUGCCGGUAACAAACGUGCAAUGAACAUUUUCUUGGGGGCAUUCAGCAACAAAGUGAAUCGUCCUUAAAAAAAAUCCAUACAACUAAAGCGAGUCUCACCACGGGAACCACAGGAGCUGUUUUAGUGAGGGGCUGGAGUGUCUGUUACAGGCGGCACUUUUGCGGCUGUUGCUGCAUUAGUCAGAUUGCACUCGAGAUGAAUGAGGAAGAAUAAAGUCUUCACCAAAAAC